CUGAGCUAUAGAUAAUAAAAUUCCCUAUAACUGCACUACUUAGACAUAAAAUGAAAGUUAAGGCAAGCUGUUACUUACAUUUGUAGCAACUCCUGUCAGCUCCCUUCACCUCCGUUCCCUUCUGCUCACUGUCAGCUCCGGUCUGCUCCCUUCACUUCUGCUCCGUUCAGCUCAUUGUCUAAAUCUCGCGGUCUGCGCACCGCGUGGAG